GCAGGCCUAACACAUGCAAGUCGAGCGGCAGCGGAAAGUAGCUUGCUACUUUGCCGGCGAGCGGCGGACGGGUGAGUAAUGUCUGGGAAACUGCCUGAUGGAGGGGGAUAACUACUGGAAACGGUAGCUAAUACCGCAUGACCUCGAAAGAGCAAAGUGGGGGACCUUCGGGCCUCACGCCAUCGGAUGUGCCCAGAUGGGAUUAGCUAGUAGGUGAGGUAAUGGCUCACCUAGGCGACGAUCCCUAGCUGGUCUGAGAGGAUGACCAGCCACACUGGAACUGAGACACGGUCCAGACUCCUACGGGAGGCAGCAGUGGGGAAUAUUGCACAAUGGGCGCAAGCCUGAUGCAGCCAUGCCGCGUGUGUGAAGAAGGCCUUCGGGUUGUAAAGCACUUUCAGCGAGGAGGAAGGCAUUAAGGUUAAUAACCUUAGUGAUUGACGUUACUCGCAGAAGAAGCACCGGCUAACUCCGUGCCAGCAGCCGCGGUAAUACGGAGGGUGCAAGCGUUAAUCGGAAUUACUGGGCGUAAAGCGCACGCAGGCGGUUUGUUAAGUCAGAUGUGAAAUCCCCGAGCUUAACUUGGGAACUGCAUUUGAAACUGGCAAGCUAGAGUCUUGUAGAGGGGGGUAGAAUUCCAGGUGUAGCGGUGAAAUGCGUAGAGAUCUGGAGGAAUACCGGUGGCGAAGG
rnacentral:rRNA from 1 species